UAUAAAUUCAUUGAAAUGUUAAAGUAUGAUCAAACCAAGCUUAAUUUAUAAUUUUAUAAAAUUAACAUUGACUUCCCAUCUGCACAUUUGUGUUCCAAAAACGUAAUAUAAAAACAAAGAAGAAAAAUAAACUUAAAAUACCCCACAGUGUGAAAAUAUAUACAAACACACACAACCGAUCAUUAACCUCCAAUUCAUGUAUUGUAUUAUUACUCUAUUAAUAAUAAUUUAGGGUUUUGCCAAAAAUAACAGAUUUGGUAAAAAAAAAAAAAUCUAUUUCAUGUAUGCCACAAUUCGACUAUCUUACUCUAAAUUCUGCAGUUUGGUUUUCUCUUCAUCACAACUCACGUGUUUUUAGUGACCUAACCUUAUUAGGUUUCCAUAAAGGAUUUAAAUGUAUAUUGGAACUUUUGGCAGCGUCCAAAUAAUCUAGUACUUAAUGAGCACCAUAAAACAAAUGAGUCCCAAGUCCUUUCUGUAAUACAUGUUUUAGUGUUGAUCCCUAAAAGGGACAGGGUUAAUUUUCUGGGGAGAUACAUAAAAUCUUUGUAAUGUACUGGAAGACACAAAAGAAAGACUCUGCAUGAAUGCCACUGGAACAUAACUACAUCCUGCCACUAGAGGUCAGCAAGCAUAUCAAAGCUCCUUGUCAUGACAAUUUUGGAAACUGAUGCUUACAAAUAAAUAAAUGGCAGCCUCCACUACUGGGAAAAUUACACCAAUGCUUUAGAGGUCUGGAGUGUCCCUUUAACUAUG